rnacentral:rRNA from 1 species
AGUGGCGAACGGGUGAGUAACGCGUGGGUGACCUGCCUUCGAGUGGGGGAUAACGUUUCGAAAGGAACGCUAAUACCGCAUAACAUCCUGCCCUUGGAUGGGUGGAGAUCAAAGCCGGGGAUCGCAAGACCUGGCGCUUGAAGAGGGGCCCGCGUCCGAUUAGCUAGUUGGUGGGGUAAUGGCUCACCAAGGCAACGAUCGGUAGCCGGCCUGAGAGGGCGGACGGCCACACUGGGACUGAGACACGGCCCAGACUCCUACGGGAGGCAGCAGUGGGGAAUUGUUCGCAAUGGGCGAAAGCCUGACGACGCAACGCCGCGUGGAGGAUGAAGGUCUUCGGAUUGUAAACUCCUGUUGAUCGGGAAGAACUCCCCUGGGAUUAAUACCUUCAGGGGUUGACGGUACCGGUUGAGGAAGCCCCGGCUAACUCUGUGCCAGCAGCCGCGGUAAUACAGAGGGGGCGAGCGUUGUUCGGAAUUACUGGGCGUAAAGGGCGCGUAGGCGGCCGACUAAGUCAGACGUGAAAUCCCCAGGCUCAACCUGGGAACUGCGUCUGAUACUGGCUGGCUUGAAUCCGGGAGAGGGAUGCGGAAUUCCAGGUGUAGCGGUGAAAUGCGUAGAUAUCUGGAGGAACACCGGUGGCGAAGGCGGCAUCCUGGACCGGCAUUGACGCUGAGGCGCGAAAGCCAGGGGAGCAAAC